rnacentral:rRNA from 1 species
GUAGGGGGCGAGCGUUGUCCGGAUUUAUUGGGCGUAAGGCGCGCGUAGGCGGUUCGUUAAGUCGGGUGUGAAAACCCGGGGCUCAACCCCGGGCCUGCAUCCGAUACUGGCGGACUCGAGGCAGGGCAGGGGAGAGUGGAAUUCCCGGUGUAGCGGUGAAAUGCGCAGAUAUCGGGAGGAACACCGGUGGCGAAGGCGGCUCUCUGGGCCUGUCCUGACGCUCAGGCGCGAAAGCUAGGGGAGCAAACAGGAUUAGAUACCCUGGUAGUCCUAGCCGUAAACGUUGGGUGCUAGGUGUGGGGCGGCGUUCGACCCGCUCCGUGCCGAAGCUAACGCAUUAAGCACCCCGCCUGGGGAGUACGGCCGCAAGGCUA